rnacentral:rRNA from 1 species
GCCUAAUACAUGCAAGUCGAGCGAACAGACGAGGAGCUUGCUCCUCUGACGUUAGCGGCGGACGGGUGAGUAACACGUGGAUAACCUACCUAUAAGACUGGGAUAACUUCGGGAAACCGGAGCUAAUACCGGAUAAUAUAUUGAACCGCAUGGUUCAAUAGUGAAAAACGGUUUUGCUGUCACUUAUAGAUGGAUCCGCGCCGCAUUAGCUAGUUGGUAAGGUAACGGCUUACCAAGGCAACGAUGCGUAGCCGACCUGAGAGGGUGAUCGGCCACACUGGAACUGAGACACGGUCCAGACUCCUACGGGAGGCAGCAGUAGGGAAUCUUCCGCAAUGGGCGAAAGCCUGACGGAGCAACGUCGCGUGAGUGAUGAAGGUCUUCGGAUCGUAAAACUCUGUUAUUAGGGAAGAACAAAUGUGUAAGUAACUAUGCACGUCUUGACGGUACCUAAUCAGAAAGCCACGGCUAACUACGUGCCAGCAGCCGCGGUAAUACGUAGGUGGCAAGCGUUAUCCGGAAUUAUUGGGCGUAAAGCGCGCGUAGGCGGUUUUUUAAGUCUGAUGUGAAAGCCCACGGCUCAACCGUGGAGGGUCAUUGGAAACUGGAAAACUUGAGUGCAGAAGAGGAAAGUGGAAUUCCAUGUGUAGCGGUGAAAUGCGCAGAGAUAUGGAGGAACACCAGUGGCGAAGGCGACUUUCUGGUCUG